CUGAGAGGUUGAACGGCCACAUUGGGACUGAGAUACGGCCCAGACUCCUACGGGAGGCAGCAGUCGGCAAUAUUGCGGAAUGGAGGAAACUCUGACGCAGUGACGCCGCGUAUAGGAAGAAGGUUUUCGGAUUGUAAACUAUUUUCGUUAGGGAAGAUACAAGACAGUACCUAAGGAGGAAGCCCCGGCUAACUAUGUGCCAGCAGC
rnacentral:rRNA from 1 species